CUCCUCCCGGUCGCCGCCGUCGCCUAGCGAAUGGGGUGGGGGCUCGCACGGUCCCCGCGGCACCCCGAGACUAGCCAUCCCGUCUCGUCCCCGCAUCUCGGAGCGCCACGGCGGGCUCCUGCCGCCCCGCCCCACCCCACCCCACCCCCGGCGCGCGUCCCGAGCCCCGCCCGCGCGCCCGGCAGGAAAGGGCGGUCCUGCGCUGUCGCCCACGCUCGCUCCCGCUGUCGGACUCUGGGCCUGGACCGCGCGUGACCGGCGCCAAGAGCGAGAGGCAUGAGCGCGCGCCCGGGCCAGUGAACGGCUCGGGGAUGGACUGCGGCUCGGUCGGCGGCCAGAGGACCCAGCGCCUGCCCGGCCGCCGGCGGCUUCUCUUCUUGCCCGUGGGCCUCAGCGGAAGACCGGGCGGCAGCGAAACCUCAGCACGCCGCUGCCUCUCUGCGCUGUCCCACGGUCUGGGGGCGCUGCGCCCUCGCGCCCCGGCGGCCCGCGGCGGCGUGUCACGUGCCUCACCGCUGCUCCUCCUCCUGCUAGUGCCCUCCCCGCGCUUGGCCGCCGCAGCCCCGCGCCGGCAGCUCGGGGACUGGGAGCGCUCGCGCCUCGGGUAUGCCGCACCCCCGGCCGGGCGCAGCGGCGCGUGGAGGUGCUCACCGGGCGUCGCCGCUGCCGCCGGCGCCCUUCCCCAGUACCACGGCCCGGCCCCUGCACUCGUUUCCUGCAGGAGAGAGCUAAGCUUGUCUGCUGGAUCCCUGCAGCUGGAGCGCAAAAGGAGAGAUUUCACCUCUUCUGGGAGCAGGAAACUCUACUUCGACACUCAUGCCUUAGUGUGCUUACUGGAAGACAAUGGGUUUGCUACUCAACAAGCAGAAAUCAUUGUGUCUGCAUUGGUCAAGAUCCUGGAGGCCAACAUGGACAUCGUCUACAAAGAUAUGGUCACCAAGAUGCAGCAGGAAAUCACUUUUCAGCAAGUAAUGUCUCAGAUUGCGAAUGUGAAAAAGGAUAUGAUUAUUUUGGAGAAGAGUGAAUUUUCAGCCCUCAGAGCAGAAAAUGAGAAAAUAAAACUCGAACUACAUCAGUUAAAACAACAAGUAAUGGAUGAAGUGAUCAAAGUCCGAACAGAUACCAAAUUAGACUUCAACCUAGAAAAGAGCAGAGUAAAAGAAUUGGAGGUACUGAGACCAGAAUAUUUAAGGCACCAGAGAAGGAGAAGAGAGAGGAGUAGAUCAGAAUCUGACCCAUGUUACGUGUUUAUUUCAGUAUUCAUUGAACGAAAAGAAGCUGCUGGAAUUGAGAACAGAAAUAGUGGCAUUGCAUGCCCAGCAAGAUCGGGCCCUUACCCAGACAGACAGGAAGAUCGAAACUGAGGUUGCUGGCCUCAAAACCAUGCUUGAGUCACACAAGCUUGAUAAUAUUAAAUAUUUAGCAGGGUCUAUAUUUACGUGCCUAACAGUAGCUCUGGGAUUUUAUCGCCUGUGGAUCUAAUAAAGUGUCUAUUUAAAGAGAUUUCUACUGUUUUGCCUUAAGAAUACCAGAUUGUUGGCCGGGUGCGGUGGCUCACGCCUGUAAUUCCAGCACUUUGGGAGGCCGAGGCAGGCGGAUUACCUGAGGUCAGGAGUUUGAGACCAGCCUGGCCAACACGGUGAAACCCUGUCUCUACUAAAAAAUUAAAACAUUAGGCGGGCGUGGUGGCGGGCGCCUGUAGUCCCAGCUACUCGGGAGGCUAAGGCGUGAACCUGGGAGGCGGAGCUUGUAGUGAGCCGAGAUCACGUCACUGCACUCCAGCCUGGGCAACAGAGGGAGACUCCGUCUCAAAAAAAAAAAAAAACGGAAUACCAGAUUGUUGUCCUUUUGUUUUCUUGUUACACAUUUGAGCCUGGAUUUUGACUUAAUGUGUAUUAUUUAUUUUUAUGAAAAUUGUGGACACAUAACCAAGAUAAAGAAGUCAGGUAUUCCAUAGCCAUUCCUUAUCUCCUUUCUGCUUAGUUGACUUUCUAGCUGAGCGGUGCACAGUGCAUGGAAGAUUCCACUUAGCCGGACCAGGAAGCUUGGUCUCAUCUGUGGUGCACAGCAACAGCAAACAUUGAUGUAAUUCUCUACAACUUAAUCUGUGGCACAUAGAGGAUUUGGGGGUCUCCAUGUUCAGGGCACAAUGGCUUUAGUAAGUGCUGGAAAAUCACUGAAGCUAAACCAAGAGCACCAGAUCCUCUUUACCUAAAUACCCAGUCUUUAACAUGAGCUAGUCCCUGUACCAGAGUAUUGUUUCAGCUGUAGUUGGUUGUCAUGUUAAUAAGACAGCUGCACCUCUACCUUCUUUUCUUUUGAUUUCCAUUGUCUUGGUAAGUUAUUGUUAGGGUUAUUUUUAAUGUGCCUUCCAGCCAGAAAAAUCAGCUGUCUAAAGAAGCAUUGCAAUUGUAAUGGGGACUCUUUUACCUCUUAGAAUGCAAGAUUUUCCCUCCUCCCUCCCUCUUCUCCAUCUCUUCCCCUCAUGAUUUGAGAACUGUAAUAAUCCUCCACUGGUGGCAUUACCUACCUAGAAAACCUGCUGAUUCUUAGCAUGGAACUUUGCUUCAGUUUGCAGGACAAAGUCUGCUUCCUUCCGGUCUUCAUUUACUUUUUAUACAAGGGAUGCAGUCAGCUCUCCAUGUGUAAGAUACCUAGAUGAUGGAUACAUAUUUCAUAAAUGAAAUUUAUGUCAUUAAUGAAUAUCCCCUUGCCCACAACCAGCUCAGGCUUUCAAAAUUCGAGAAUGGUCAUGCCACACAGCAUUCUAAUCUAGAUGGAUUAAUUCUGUUGUUCAAAACAUUCUCAUACCUGCCUUUAUAUUGAAAACAAAUUCUAGAUACAACUGGGGUUAUCCUGGAAAAGCACAUUCUCACCUUUUUUUUUUUUUUUUUUUGAGACGGAGUCUCGCACUGUCGCAGGGCUGGAGUGCAUUGUCGUGAUCUCUGCUCACUGCAACCUCUGCCUCCUGGAUUCAAGCGAUUCUCCUGCCUCAGUCUCCUGAGUAGCUGAGAUUACAGGUGCCCACCACCACACCCAGCUAAUUUUUGUAUUUUUAGUAGAGAUGAGGUUUCACCAUGUUGGCCAGGCUGGUCUCUAACUCCUGACCUCGUGAUUCACCUGCCUUGGUCUCCCAAAGUAGUGGGAUUACAGGCGUGAGCCGCUGCGCCUGGCCCAUUCUCAUCUUAUUCGAGUUACUGGCACAUGGGCAAGAGAGACAAUGGCAUGGAUAGAAGCUUUUCUGCCUUUCUCUGCACACAGACACGUACACACACAUACAGUGAAGGAACCACAGGCAGAUUUUUUGAUCAGUUUGGUGAAUACAUUACUCAUCACUGUUCCAACCACAUUGGUGAAAAAAAUAGUUACCUUUUGUCCUUUGGAUGUCAUGUCUAAACUUUGGAAAAUAUAAGUCAUUGCCCUUUUAGAGAAUGUUUGUGUAGUCCAAAGAUUGUGAGCUCCAUAUAGUAUGAAAAUCAAGUACUUUUGCAUGAGCAAUAGCAGUUUCAAAGUGAAAUAUUAUAAUUUAAUCUUUUUCAAGUAGAUCAAAAAUUCUUAACUGAUUAAUAAAAUAUUUUAUCAAUAUAUCAUCCCCCUUUCAGAGAAAAGUCCCCAGAAGAGACGGCACACUUAGCAAUUGCCCUCAUUAUUAAAGGCCUAGGUGAGUGGCAUAAAGGGCCAUAUGCGAUUAUGUUUCAAGGUAAACAUUACCUAACCUUGUGUGGGUUAAAAACAGUGAAGUGUCCUUGUAUCCUGAUAAAAAUUUUUUUUAAAUAACAUGGUGGGUUGACAUUUUUGCAUCUGCUGAAAGUUUUCUCACAUGUUGUUCUUCCCGGUGAGAGCGGGCUGCAUCAUUCUGGCACUUCAUUUGGGUGUUCGAUUUUGCUAUAGAGUUCUUUGCAGUACAGCAUAGCCUCUUUUUGGCCUUGGGAACAGUGAACUCUUCUUUUGAUGGUGUGGAUUGCAUGCAUAUCUGGAGAGAGGAGGGCUCAGGACUGUGUUCACUUUAUUUGGUCAGAUGUAUUGUAUUUGAAAACCAUUUGAGCCCAAAAUACAAGUGUACCCUUCCCACUUCUGGCUCAAGCACCUGUGAGCCGACUAGACGUAAUAUUAAAAUUUACUGAUGCUGGGCGCGGUGGCUCACGCCUAUAAUCCCAGCACUUUGGGAGGCCAAGGCAGGCAGAUCACCUGAGGUCAGGAGUUGGAGACCAGACUGGCCAACAUGAUGAAAUGCUCUCACUACUAAAAAUACAAAAAUUAGCCAGGCGUGGUGGCACACCCCUGUAAUCCUAGCUACUCGGGAGGCUGAGACAGGAAAAUCGCAUGAACCUGGGAGGCAGAGGUUGCAGUGAGCAGAGAUUACACCACUGCAACGAGACUCAGGCCCAGACGAGAUCUGCCUGGGCGACACAGUGAGACUCUGUCUCAAAAUACAUAAAUAAGUAAAUAGAACCUCCUGAGCUACCCUGGCUUAUAAGGAUUCAGAUUACUUUAGGAAAUUAGGCAUUAGCACUAGGACGGGGGAAGAUGGCUGGCAAAACUUCUAGCUAGCAACCUAUGUCUAGCACAUGGGUAACUAACCAUAGCGAGAUUCUGAACACAUAUCCUCUAGGUGCAGGUGGAGGGAACGAUGUCCAAUACCUGAAGCAGAAUCUCACAUGGACGGAAUGUCUGUAUUUCCCUCUCCUGCACGAAUCACUCAUCAUUCUUGGAGGGCUUCUCUGCAUUCCUCCUUUUCUUCUCUCCCCUCCCCUGCCUUUUGUCUUUUCUAAAGAGUCUGAACUCUGAUUUCCAUGCUCUCCUGCUACAUUAAUAAGCAAAACCUGCUUGUGUGUAUGGUUCUUUACUGGAAACAUGACUUUUUGUUUCUGUAUUGGUUUUACUGUCAUCCAGCUUUCUAGUUUAAUAUCUAGCAAAACUAAAUCUGAAUGUACUCGCUUUUUCCGUUAAGUAUGCCAAGCACCUCAGUUGAAAGGCUUGACUCAAACCAGAAGUCUUGCUGGAAUUCGUCUCCGAACACUUGAAAAACAGAAACCCUGAGCCGCAGCAAACAUGCCUCUGUGUGUCGGGAUUGCCUUUGUCUCUGCUUCCAUGUGGCUUUUCCCUUUGUAGCUAUGCUUAGUGACAUAAUCUUCCCUCUUCUUUUCUAGCCUUCUCCUUUCAAGCCUGUCUGUUAAUUAACCAUGUCAGUAUUGGCAAGCAUUUAUCUUGCCCCACCCUAACAUGCGAUCUUCUAAGAAUUUUGCAAAAUUCUAAACAAAUAUAGAGAUGGUAUAUAGAAUUCAUAUCUAGAAAACUUUGAUUUUAAUGUAAGCUUAUCAAAUUUGUUCUGGCUUUUUUGGCACUAAGGCAAAAACAUGUUAACCAGAAAUAAUUUAUUCUUCAUGUAUGUAAAAUAUUUGAGAAUGUUUAGCCUUUUAUUAGAAUUUUAUUUGGAAAAGAUUUAUCUUUCUACACAUUUUACACUUAUGUUCCUUUGCUUAUAACCCAAUUUCUUACCUGUUUUGUUACUUAAGCAAAUAUCAAUUGUUUUAUUAUCUAAUAAAGUGUAAGAUUCUUACUAUCUAAAA